rnacentral:SRP_RNA from 1 species
UCUGGACGGUGUGGCGGCCGUCUGUAACCCAAGUGGGAGUAAGAGAGUGCGGAGACGGAGCUGCUCCAUCAGGCCGGCGGGAUCAUGUGGAAGGCACGUCCAUUUGAAGCGUGGAGUCUCCAAUCUGGGCUCUUGCACGGAAGUGAGAAGGGUCCGGGGAGAUGAUGCAGAGGGCACAGCGUGAGGCGGGUGACCGAGCAGCGAUCACCUCUCGCUCCUGGCAGUCAAAGGACAGCAUGCUCGAAUGCCUCUCGGCGAUUACCCUCUGGAAUGAGCUUACUACAACCACUCUC